rnacentral:rRNA from 1 species
AUUGAACGCUGGCGGCAUGCUUUACACAUGCAAGUCGAACGGGCUUGGGGGCUUGCUCCCAAGUUAGUGGCGAACGGGUGAGUAAUACAUCGGAACGUACCGUGUAGUGGGGGAUAACGUAGCGAAAGUUACACUAAUACCGCAUACGAUCUACGGAUGAAAGCGGGGGACCUUCGGGCCUUGUGCUAUACGAGCGGCCGAUGUGUGAUUAGCUAGUUGGUGAGGUAAAGGCUCACCAAGGCGACGAUCAGUAGCGGGUCUGAGAGGAUGAUCCGCCACACUGGGACUGAGACACGGCCCAGACGCCUACGGGAGGCAGCAGUGGGGAAUUUUGGACAAUGGGCGAAAGCCUGAUCCAGCCAUGCCGCGUGUCUGAAGAAGGCCUUCGGGUUGUAAAGGACUUUUGUCAGGGAGCAAAACUUACUGGUUAAUACCCGGUGAGGCUGAGAGUACCUGAAGAAUAAGCACCGGCUAACUACGUGCCAGCCGCCGCAGUAACAC